rnacentral:rRNA from 1 species
AGGGCGUACGGAGAAUGCCUGGGCACAGAGAGGCGAUGAAGGACGCAGCGAACAGCGAAAUGCGGCGGCGAGCGGUAAGCACGCGAUGACCCGCCGAUAUCCGAAUGGGGAAACCCCUCCGCUCAAGAAGCGGAGACCGCAUGACGACCGUCAUGACGGGGCAAUACGCAGGGAACUGAAACAUCUAAGUACCUGCAGGAAGAGAAAGAGAAGUCGAUUCCGUAAGUAGCGGCGAGCGAAAGCGGAGGAGCCCAAACCGGACACAGUCCGGGGUUGUAGGACCGCCGGUAAAGAUGACAUGAAGAGUCAGGAGAAUCCCAUGGGAAGGGGAUCCGAAGAGGGUGAGAGACCCGUAUCCGAAGGCUCGACAUGCGUCGAGGCGGCACCUGAGUACGGCGGGGCACGUGGAAUCCUGCCGGAAUCAUCGGGGACCAUCCCGAAAGGCUAAACACUACUCUGUGACCGAUAGCGAACCAGUACCGUGAGGGAAAGGUGAAAAGAACCCCGGGAGGGGAGUGAAAGAGAACCUGAAACCCUAUGUUUACAAGCAGAGGGAGCGAAAGCGACCUCGUACUUUUUGUAGAACGGGCCGGCGAGUUACUGUGUGCAGCGAGGUUAAGGCGUAGAGCGCCGGAGCCGAAGCGAGAGCGAGUCUGAAGAGGGCGAAAGUUGUGCGCAGUAGACCCGAAACCGGGUGACCUAUCCAUGGACAGGAUGAAGCGGCGGUAAGACGCCGUGGAGGUCCGAACCACACGUAUGUUGAAAAAUGCGGGGAUGAGCUGUGGAUAGCGGAGAAAUUCCAAUCGAACUCGGAGAUAGCUGGUUCUCCCCGAAAUAGCUUUAGGGCUAGCCUCGUUUUAAAUUACCGGGGGUAGAGCACUGAAUGGGCUAGGGGGCCACAAAGCUUACCGAACCCUAUCAAACUUCGAAUACCGGAUAAUUGAUGAACGGGAGUCAGACGGCGGGAGAUAAGUUUCGUCGUCAAAAGGGAAACAGCCCAGAUCUACGACUAAGGUCCCGAAAUCACAGUUAAGUGGAAAAGGAUGUGCAGUUGCACAGACAACCAGGAUGUUGGCUUAGAAGCAGCCACUCAUUUAAAGAGUGCGUAAUAGCUCACUGGUCGAGUGAUUGUGCGCCGAAAAUGUACCGGGGCUAAACUGUGUACCGAAGUCUAGGGAUCGUGAUAAACGAUCGGUAGGGGAGCAACGUGUGCGGGCUGAAGCCGAAGCGAAAGCGACGGUGGACUGCACGGGAGAGAGAAUGCCGGCAUGAGUAGCGAGAGCAAAGUGAGAAUCUUUGCCGUCGAAAGCCUAAGGUUUCCUGAGGAAGGCUCGUCCUCUCAGGGUAAGUCAGGACCUAAGCCGAGGACAAAAGUCGUAGGCGAUGGACAACUGGUUGAUAUUCCAGUACCACCUUUAGCGUUUGACUGAAGCAGUGACACAGAAGGAUAGACAGAGCGCGUGACUGGUAGAGCGCGUCCAAGCGAUGAGGGAGUUAAGUAGUGAAGAACGCUUAACAAUCCUGGGUCGUGAUGGGGACUGAAAAUAAGUAGGGAAGCUGUUGAAUUCACGCUGGCGAGAAAAGCUGCUAAGGAGCGAAAGGGUGCCUGUACCGCAAACCGACACAGGUAGGCGAGGAGAGAAUCCUAAGACGAGCGGGAGAACCCAUGUUAAGGAACUCGGCAAAAUGACCCUGUAACUUCGGGAUAAAGGGAGCCACGAGAGUGGCCGCAGAGAAUAGGCCCAAGCGACUGUUUACCAAAAACACAGGUCUGUGCGAAGUAGAGAUACGACGUAUACGGGCUGACGCCUGCCCAGUGCCGGAAGGUUAAGGGGAAGUGUUAGGGCAACCGAAGCACGGAACUUAAGCCCCGGUGAACGGCGGCCGUAACUAUAACGGUCCUAAGGUAGCGAAAUUCCUUGUCGGGUAAGUUCCGACCCGCACGAAAGGUGUAACGAUUUGGGCACUGUCUCAACGAGGGACCCGGUGAAAUUGAAAUACCUGUGAAGAUGCAGGUUACCCGCGACUGGACAGAAAGACCCCAUGGAGCUUUACUGUAACCUGACAUUGGGUUUUGUUGUAUUACGUACAGGAUAGGUGGGAGGCUUAGAAGGCUGGACGCUAGUCUGGCUGGAGCCGGCGUUGGGAUACCACCCUUGAUACAACGGAAUUCUAACCGAGAGAGUAACGAAAUCCGGGACAGUGUCAGGCGGGCAGUUUGACUGGGGCGGUCGCCUCCGAAAGAGUAACGGAGGCGCCCAAAGGUUCCCUCAGCGCGGCCGGAAAUCGCGCGAAGAGUGUAAAGGCAGAAGGGAGCUUGACUGCGAGCCAAACACGGCGAGCAGGUACGAAAGUAGGGCUUAGUGAUCCGGUGGUACCGAGUGGAAGGGCCAUCGCUCAACGGAUAAAAGCUACCCUGGGGAUAACAGGCUAAUCUCUCCCAAGAGUCCAUAUCGACGGGGAGGUUUGGCACCUCGAUGUCGGCUCAUCACAUCCUGGGGCUGAAGUCGGUCCCAAGGGUUGGGCUGUUCGCCCAUUAAAGUGGUACGUGAGCUGGGUUCAGAACGUCGUGAGACAGUUCGGUCCCUAUCCAUCGCGGGCGCAAGAGAUUUGAAGGGGUCUGCUCCUAGUACGAGAGGACCGGAGUGGACGGACCGCUGGUGUACCAGUUAUUCCGCCAGGAGUACAGCUGGGUAGCUACGUCCGGACUGGAUAAACGCUGAAAGCAUCUAAGCGUGAAGCCAUCCUUAAGAUGAGAUCUCUCACAGAGUAAUCUGGUAAGACACCUUAAAGAAGAUGAGGUAGAUAGGCCGGGAGUGUAAGUGCAGCAAUGUAUUGAGCUGACCGGUACUAAUAUGUCGAGGGCUUGACUU